GGAAGGAGAAAGAAGUCUCCAGGAGGGCUCCCUGCCAAAUACUUCUUUUGUGCUCAGCUGUUUGUGCCCAGCUGUAAGGCUGUGGGAGGCAGGAAAUCUCUUUUGCAUUUGUGCCCGUCCAGUCUGCUUGGGCAAUGUAGAGUUCAAUGCAGCACUGAACAAACUGGCUCCAGCGAAGCAGGAGCCCCAAGGUGAAGGACCUGGGGAGGGCCAUUAGCACCCAGGCAAGUCUCUCUUGACUGUGGAGGAAGUGGUACUUCCUUUGUUCCUACCGAGUACAGUACCUUCUCCUGUGCACUAUCCUGAGUCCAGCCUGGAGGUGGGGGGGAAGCAGGGGAGGAAGGGGGGAACCCCCCCCCCAACAAACUACACUCCUGCACUCUCACCCAUGUCCACGAGCUGGGGAAUUACUCCCCUGUCCCAAGUGUGGUGGUGACCACAGGUACACAGACAAAAGCCUUUGCCCCAGAGAAGUGCAAGCCUUGGUCCACGAAUACCUACUGCCACAUGGGUUCCAGGCUUCCACAAAGGUGGAUCCAAGAGUCUGGAAGAGGAGAUGGGGAAUCCCAGCCCCAGGCAGCCCCACUGAGUGCCCUAGUGUAUGGGUGCACUUAAACCAAUGCAGCACUGGGAUAUGCAGACAAGCCUAGCAUCACUCAUUUGUCCUGUCAUUGCUUCCAGUGCCUGUGUCUGUUCUCCUGUGACACAGUGUAUGCCAGGA